AGGGCCAUUUGGAAAGCCUCUACCUGUACAUUACAACCUAUUUGAUGCUGCUAGAGGUUUCAGGCCUUCAUAGUCCUCCCAGCUCCACACCCUGCCAUUCUUCUUCCUUCUCCACACCUGUCAGAGCCCCAAUUUUUGUUUAACUGACAAGACUGAGAGUGUGCUAAACAGGAAAUAGAAGUGGCUCUGCACUAAGGACUAAAUCUGCUCUCCCCUCUGGACAUAAAGUUUGGGCUCAACUUCUCCAGGGAUCUGAGCCAGUGGCGCCAGCAUUCAUGUGACUGGAAACGGAAGGCAAGCGAAUGCAUGUGGAGCCAGUGACUAUGAAAUCAGUCUCAUUAAAUUUACUCAGUUUUCUUCAAGUCUUAAAGCAUGAAGCAUUACAAACCUUCAUAUGUACACUAGGGAAAGAAAGGAAGAAAAAAAAGAACUCCAGGGCAAGACCUAAGGAAAAGCCUGUGGAAAGAACACAGCAAGCCAAGGAAACCAGCUGCAGUUCCAGAGAACACAAAGAGAAGCACUCCAAAACAUGUUGCAAAAUGCCUAGUUCCUGAGCCAGAUGCAAGCAGCC